UACGUAGGGAGCAAGCGUUGUCCGGAAUCAUUGGGCGUAAAGCGCGCGUAGGUGGCCCUGUAAGUCCGUUGUGAAAGUCAAAGGCUCAACCUUUGAAAGCCGAUGGAUACUGCAGGGCUAGAGUACGGAAGAGGCGAGUGGAAUUCCUGGUGUAGCGGUGGAAUGCGCAGAUAUCAGGAAGAACACCCGUGGCGAAGGCGGUUCUCUGGGACGGUACUGACGCUGAGACGCGAAAGCGUGGGGAGCGAACAGG
rnacentral:rRNA from 1 species